UCCCCUCCCCCAGGUGACAGGCUGGUCUCCCCCACGGGUGACAGGCUGGUCUCCCCCAUAGGUGACAGGUUAGUCUCCCCCGCAGGUGACAGGCUAGUCUCCCACGUAGGUGACAGGUUAGUCUCCCCCACGGGUGACAGGCUAGUCUCCCCCACAGGUGACAGGUUAGGUGACAGGCUAGUCUCCCCCAUAGGUGACAGGCUAGUCUCCCCCACGGGUGACAGGUUAGUCUCCCCCAUAGGUGACAGGUUAGGUGACAGGUUAGGUGACAGGCUAGGUGACAGACUAGUCUCCCCCACAGGUGACAGGCUAGUCUCCCACGUAGGUGACAGGUUAGUCUCCCCCACGGGUGACAGGCUAGUCUCCCCCACAGGUGACAGGUUAGGUGACAGGCUAGUCUCCCCCAUAUGUGACAGGUUAGUCUCCCCCACGGGUGACAGGCUAGUCUCCCCCACGGGUGACAGGCUAGUCUCCCCCACAGGUGACAGGUUAGUCUCCCCCAUAGGUGACAGGCUAGUCUCCCCCACAGGUGACAGUUAGUCUCCCCCAUAGGUGACAGGCUAGUCUCCCCCACAGGUGACAGGUUAGGUGACAGGCUAGUCUCCCCCACAGGUGACAGGUUAGUUCUCCCCCCACGGGGACAGGCUAGUCUCCCCCACGGUGGACAGGCUAGUCUCCCCCCCGGGUGACAGGCUGUCUCCCCCACGGGUGACCGGCUAGUCUCCCCCAUGGGUGACAGGCUAGUCUCCCCCAUAGGUGACAGGCUAGUCUCCCCCACAGGUGACAGGUUAGGUGACAGGCUAGUCUCCCCCACGGGUGACAGGCUAGUCUCCCCCACGGGUGACAGGCUAGUCUCCCCCACGGUGACAGGCUAGUCUCCCCCGCAGGUGACAGACUAGUCUCCCCCGCAGGUGACAGGUUGGGUGACAGGCUAGUCUCCCCCACGGUGACAGGCUAGUCUCUCCCGCAGGUGACAGGUUAGGUGACAGGCUAAUCUCCCCCACGGGUGACAGGCUAGUCUCCCCCACGGGUGACAGGCUAGUCUCCCCCACGGUGACAGGCUAGUCUCCCCCGCAGGUGACAGGUUAGUCUCCCCCAUGGGUGACAGGCUGGUCUCCCCCGCAGGUGACAGGCUGGUCUCCCCCGCAGGUGACAGGUUAGUCUCCCCCAUGGGUGACAGGCUGGUCUCCCCCGCAGGUGACAGGCUUAGUCUCCCCCAUAGGUUGACAGGUUAGUCUCCCCCACGGGUUGACAGGCUGGUCUCCCCCGCAGGUGACAGGUUAGGUGACAGGUUAGUCUCCCCCACAGUGACAGGUUAGUCUCCCCCAUGGGUGACAGGCUGGUCUCCCCCGCAGGUGACAGGCUAGUCUAAUAGAACCAGCUGGGUGAUCGGCUGAUACCAACGUCUUACUUCUCUAACCUGGAGUUUUUGUUUCACGUUUCUCCCAUUGUGAGUCCUCGUCUUCCUGGAGAAAGCCCAGUUCCCUACUGGGACAUGUGGCCCAGCCCCUGGAGAGAGGCAGA
rnacentral:lncRNA from 1 species